CUCUAUUUACAUAAUAAAAUAAAAGUUCAUAACAUUUAAUGGGCCGCCUAUGGUCACGUGGAUACAUACGCGUCAAAGCGCACGCGAAAUAAUUUAGUAAACGUCACAAUGCUGUAGUUGCGCACAUGUUUAAUGCACAUAGUCCAGAAUCUUGCUAACAAAAACCAGAAAUGUCGCAGGAAGAUUUAGUUUCUACAGAGAGUGAACGCGAGAGUGAGAAAGAGCCCUCAUUACAGCAAUGGAAAAGGAUUUCAAAACGUGUGGGUUUUCAAAAAAAUUGGACAAAAGAAUGUAUCAUUAAAGUGUUAAACGACUCCAAUGGAGAGGCAUUACAAGGAAAGGAUCUUCAGAAAAUACCAUUCAAUGCCAAUCUGUAUAAAGCGUGUGUGCAGUCAGGUCGUCUAAGUGACAGAGCAAAACAUUUGUUUACAAAAGAUCCCGAUGUCCGCACAGACAAAGAUAUUGUGGAAAUAUUUCGCGCCGUUGACAAGUUGCAAUGCUUUUCUAAAUAUUCCCGAGCUGUUAAGGAAGGCUUAGCAAAGUUUGUGUAUUAUAGUGAAUUUCCAGUUGACAGGGUAGUUGUACAGCAAGGACACCCUGCUCUUUCGUUCUACUUUAUUCUGAAAGGCUCUGUAAAUGUUGUGGUAGAAGAAGAAGAUAAAGGAACUGGCAAAAUGACAAAAAAUAUCGUUGGAGAAAUUCUUGCAGGUAAUUCCUUCGGAGAACUAGCCUUGAUACAUGACACACACCGAAGAGCAUCCGUUAUUUGCAAAGAGCCAUCGAAAUUCCUACGACUGGAUAAAUCCGAUUUUAACCAGGUCAGAACAUGCAACAAUGUAUAGCAAGCAGCCGCACCAUUAAAGAACUUUACAUUUACAAAAAGGGCAUGCAGCAUAAGUACAGAAUACAACAACAGCAACAAGGUUAUAUAUAUAAAUAUAUAUAACCUUUGCUAUAGGUCUUACGAGAAACGUAUGAAAAAGAAUGGCAAUUAAGAAUGGAUUACUUGCAAGCAAUACCAGCUUUUGAAAACUGGACGACGUUGGAACUGAAGGCCAUAAACAAUGCGUCAAAUAUAGUUGACUAUCCGGAAAACUCGGUUGUGCAUAAAGACGAGCCAUCUGAAACGGUCUACAUCAUCAAAUCCGGAAGUUGCAU